UACGAAGGGGGCUAGCGUUGCUCGGAAUUACUGGGCGUAAAGCGCACGUAGGCGGCUCUUUAAGUCGGAGGUGAAAUCCUGGAGCUCAACUCCAGAACUGCCUUCGAUACUGAAGAGCUCGAGUCCGGGAGAGGUGAGUGGAACUGCGAGUGUAGAGGUGAAAUUCGUAGAUAUUCGCAAGAACACCAGUGGCGAAGGCGGCUCACUGGCCCGGUACUGACGCUGAGGUGCGAAAGCG
rnacentral:rRNA from 1 species